rnacentral:pre_miRNA from 1 species
AGGAACUACAACAGUGGUGGCGGCCAGCUCCCCAGCCCUGGAUUCAGCUCCCGCAGUAACUACCAAGCUCUCUGUCUGCAGGGCCUGGAUGCUCCGGUGGCGG